rnacentral:lncRNA from 1 species
UUAAUUUCGUACAUAUAUAUAUAUUUAUAGAGUUGGACUGGGCCACUAUUAGUAGCAAAAUUCCAUUAUUGCUACCAGUUUUUUACCCUUCGGAUCAACUCUUUUCAUUAUUUCUAACCAUUGGAUUAAAUACUAUAACCCAGUAGGGACCACUCAACCCUAGCUGGACCACUCAACUCUAACCGACUAAUGUCAUCUUGAUCAUACAAUUUUUCAUCCAAGCAUUAAAAACUUGAUAGUAAAAAAAGCGUUUUACUAUUAAUAGUAUUCCAGCCUAAUUCUAUAUAUAUAUAUAUAUAUAUAUAUAUGGUGAAUGACAAACAUAUCUCUACAAAGUUCAACUUUCAUAUAUUAUUUUUAUAAAAAUUUUAAUAUUUUCAAAUAUGUCCUUCUAAUUUAUUAUUGUUAGAGAACUGUUUGUAUUUUUAAUUUUGUCAUCACAAAUAUACCGCUCCAAAAAUAAUAAUAUUAUAAUAUAAGAGGGAUAAAAAUGUUAAAAACUAAUCAGGGUAAAAUAUUUAAUCUAUAAUUAACUAAAUUUUUCUGACGAAUUCUAAUGGCAUGAACAUAUUUGAAAAUAUCAAAAUUUUUAUAAAAGCAACAUAUACAAGUUAAACUUUAAAAGUAUAAAUUUGUUAAUCAUUAUAUUUGCGGGGAUCUGUAUGAAAUUAGUCCUUAAUAAUUUAUGUUGGACACAUUUCUUGUGUCGGGUCUUGAGACAUUUUGGCUUGGAGCGUCACGUGGACUUUUAUUUGAUACAAUAUGAAAACAUGCAUCCACUAUAUAUAACUAGAAACUUGAACUUUGGGGAAUAAGUAUUUUUUACGAGUUAAAUAAUAAGAAUAAUUUCAUACAGCUUUCUAUAAAUAUAUAUUCAAUAGUAGAUAUAUUUUUAGACAGAUUAACUUAUCAUAUUUAUCAUUUAAAAAAUUUUAACGGUUUUAAAUAUAUUCCUACUGUUAGUGUCCGUUAAAAAUAUAUAAUUAAUCAUAGAUAAAAUAUUUAACCUUGAUUAGUGAAUGAGAUAAAUUAAUUUUUUUACUUCCUUGCUAUUAUAUCUUUUUCUCUCGAUCAAAAUUUUAGUUCAAUCAAAAACCCUAACAAUGAAACACCUCUUCCUCUUCCUCUUUCUCAUUCUCUCUGUCAUUCAUUCUAGUUUCGAACUCGUAACUAAAAUUUCUCCGUUCCCAAUCAUUCAUGACACAUGUUGCUUCAUUCAUGUCGAGCGCCGGAGAAUCAGUAUUAAAUAGGUAGAGAAGAAAAAAAGUAAGAGAACAAACAGAAAAGAGAUUGUAACAAUAAUAAAUUAGAUUAGUUUUUAUAUAGGAAGAAGAUGACUAUUAGAAUUUUUUGAAAGAACAUACAUAUAUUAUUUUUUGAAAGAACAUACAUAUAUUUCUAGCAUUUG